AUGGGCAUGCGGCGCAUUAGCUAGUCGGCGGGGUAACGGCCCACCGAGGCGACGAUGCGUAGGGGUUCUGAGAGGAAGGCCCCCCACACUGGUACUGAGACACGGACCAGACUCCUACGGGAGGCAGCAGUGAGGAAUAUUGGUCAAUGGGCGCGAGCCUGAACCAGCCAAGUCGCGUGAGGGAGGACGGCCCUACGGGUUGUAAACCUCUUUUGCCGGGGAGCAACGGGCGUCACGUGUGGCGCCACUGAGAGUACCCGGAGAAAAAGCAUCGGCUAACUCCGUGCCAGCAGCCGCGGUAAUACGGAGGAUGCGAGCGUUAUCCGGAUUUAUUGGGUUUAAAGGGUGCGUAGGCGGAUCGUUAAGUCAGUGGUCAAAUUGAGGGGCUCAACCCCUUCCCGCCAUUGAAACUGGCGAUCUUGAGUGGAAGAGAAGUAUGCGGAAUGCGUGGUGUAGCGGUGAAAUGCAUAGAUAUCACGCAGAACCCCGAUUGCGAAGGCAGCAUGCCGGCUUCCGACUGACGCUGAAGCACGAAAGCGUGGGGAUCGAACAGGAUUAGAUACCCUGGUAGUCCACGCGGUAAACGAUGAGCGCUAGGUGUCCGGGGGGAAUGGCCCCUGG
rnacentral:rRNA from 1 species